rnacentral:lncRNA from 1 species
GCUGAGGAUGUGGCUCAAGCGGUAGCACGCUCGCCUAGCAUGCGUGCGGCCCGGGUUCAAUUCUCAGCACCACAUACAAACAAAGAUGUUGUGUCCGCCGGAAACUAAAAUAAAUAAAUAAAUAUUAAAAUUCUCUCUCAAAAAAAAAGAGGUCAAUGGGCCUUAAAAAGUUAAAGUACUAAUAACAGAGAAUUCCUACAUUUCCAAAAUUUUCUAGUAAAAAUUUGCAUUCAUGUAUGCAGUCAUAAAUAACUUAAUGACCUGGGACAAAUUUUAAGAAAUGCAUCAUUAGCUGGUUGUAGUGGCACAUGCCUGUAAUCCCAACAACUUGUGAGAUUGAGGGAAAAGGAUCAUAAGUUUGAAGCCAGACUCAGCAACUUAGUGAGACCCAAUUUCAAGAAAUGCAUCUGUAGACAGUUUCAUUGGGCAAACACAGAUUGAACUUACACCAAGAUAGUUACAAUUUUACUAAGCAAUAUAAUCUUAUGGGACCAUCAUUAUAUAUAUAGCCCAGCAUUAACCAAAAAGUUGUUAAUGUGGUGCUGUGUUUAUCCUAGUAUGAUCUCCAUUAAUAUUUCUGUUACUUUUUUAUUUAUAAAUAUUGUUAUAAGAAAACUAUUAGUUUUGAGUACCCAAAAUUAAAAAAACUAGUUAUGUUGUGACACAUUAUCCACUUAUAAAAACUGGAACACUUCCUUAUAUGUUUAAAAUUACACUUCAAUACUUUAGACUUUUAAAAGUCAAUAAUAUGCAAAGUAUAUUUCAAUCUUAAGUAUAGAUGAAUGUUAGAUCUUUAUUCAUCUAUUUCUAAAUUACCUGAAGGUAAGAAAAUUUUAUUAGCUCACUAUUUUUCUUUUCAUCUUCUAUUAUCUUUAAAAGGCAAAGUCCUAUUCUUACUUCAGCUAAGAAUGGAACUAUCUGGAGAGCAUUUGGAUUUGUAGUUGUUGGCUUGGGAGGGACCGGUGGGGGAGCUUGAGGGAUGUGGGGCUGUUAAUUGAACAGCUGGAAAAUCCAUUGACUUUUCAGUAUAAGCUUUCUCACUUGCCACUUUGAAAGUUCAUAGUGUAAAUGCUAAAUGUGGAAUUUAUUUUUAAUAGGAUCUUAAGUAAUUUUGAUUGUGAAGAUAUUCAGCAACUUACCAGCCCACACAAUAGUUGCAAUUUACUACUACCCCCAACCCCAAUCCCUGUACUAGGAAUGGAACCCAAGACACUCUACCACUGAGCUACAUUCCUAGCCCUUUUUGUUUUAUUUUGAAACAAAGUCUUGCUAAGUUGCUGAGGCUGGCCUUGAACUUGCAAUCCUGCUUCAGCCUCCUGAGUAGCUGGGAUUAUAGAUAUGCGCCACCAUGCCCAGCUGCAACUUACUACUUCUAAUAGUUUAAUAUUCAGUGGUCUUUGAUAAUUUGUUUGCAAAAGAUUCUGUGGCAGGAAUUUUAAAACUAUAUUUUGAUUACACUGCCCUUUCAUGUUUGUGUUUCAUGAUAGUAUAGUAUAUUAAAUCCUUCAUUUAUUCACUCCCAGUUAUCCAAGAUAUUACUUUCAUUCCACAACAAUAUCACAUUUUUGAAAAGUUCAGUAAAAACAUACAAUUAAAACCAGUCGGCCGGGGAUGUGGCUCAAGCGGUAGCGCGCUCGCCUGGCAUGCGUGCGGCCCGGGUUCGAUCCUCAGCACCACAUACAAAAACAAGGAUGUUGUGUCUGCCGAUAACUAAAAAAUAAAUAUUAAAAAAAAAAAAAAAACAGUCAUCAAAUUUGCCAUUAUAAAAAUGUUCCUUCCUUCCUCCCUCCCUCCCUUCCUUCCUUCCUUCCUUCCUUCCUUCGCAGAGAUUUCAAAAGAACACCCCUCCACACACACACAUUUUACAGAAAGACUUAAUUCUAAAAUGGAAAAGACCUAUAAAGACCUCCAAAUUGCUUUUUCUUUCAAAAUCUGGCUAAUUUUUGAGAUGGAAAAAGAUAAUAUGAAACCUGAAGGCUUGGUCUUGCUUGGUUAGUUUUCACAUUAAAACAGCAAAGUGACUUAAGUAUUUAAAUAAAAACUUAGAUCUCGGCAUAUUGUGUUUGUGUAUGAUAAUACAUAUAAGAAUAAUAUAUAAGUCGUUUUCAGUUUAAUGAAAUGAAUCAAACUAUCUGUAACACUGAAAGGGUUCACUGUAAUAGAAUUUCAUGGAGAAUACCCUGAAGUUAGAAUAAAGGGUAAGAUGCUAAAUUCCACUAAAUAAACAUUUUGGAAUGUGUUAUUUGGUAAGAAAUUUCUAAAAGUCUAAAAUAUACAAACCAAGAAAGAUGAAAAAUAAAGAUUGGUGUUUUAGAUUAAAAAAAAUACUUCGUUAGUCAAAGUAAAUCUAAUUUCAGAACCUGCCUAAGGAACCCGCCUAAGGUCACUGUUGAAUCAUGUGAUCUGGUAAGGUCUUCUUGUUCAUUCCCAGAUACUUCUCUGAGAGGAAGAGAGUACAGUGUCAGAACUCUUUCUGAUAACACUAAGCAUAUUCUCAAAGUCAAGAGUAAAAUGAGAAAGGGAACAGUCAUUUUUCUUUAUAGAAAUUUUGAGUCAGACUAUUGUAACAGAUGCUUAAGGAGCUCCCAGAAAGGUUUUGGUUAAAGUUUACUGUAGUGGAAGUUUAAUAAUACAUCACCCAGAUUACUGAUACUUCAUUCGAAAUUUGUAGAUCUCUUUGAUCAUUGUCGCAAUGUUUACUCUAUAACCCUGUUACAAAAAUCUGUGAUUUCCACUGAAAAUUGCAUAGUGCUUGUGGUAAGCUUCAAAUUCUAUUUAUAAAUAAAAAUGAGGCUUCAUUUACAUUUCAUGAUCCAUAAGUCAUCAGUGUAUCCAUAUCCAUGAUUGCAGAUGAUCCCAUAGGCUUGCCCAAGUAUACAGAAAUUUUUUAUGCUAUUAGCUUCAACUUUCCACACUUUUAAAGUAAAUGUACAACUUUGUUAUAAAAAGUGUAUUUUCUUUUGUUAACUGUUAUCCUUUUAACUGCAUUUGUUUUCUUUUAUAGAGUGUUAUUGUAAAUGGUCUUAUGUCCAGGUGGAGUUUAAUGUUUAGUCAAUAAAACUGCAUAGAAAGUGUGAUAUAAGGUUAAGGGUAGGCAGUCUAUAACAUGGGUGGCCCUGAGGAGUUCCUACCAGUGAACCUGUUUAUCUGUACCUUAUUUCUUACUGUUUUCCUCAUCAUUCUUUCCCUUUUCUUUACUAACCACCAUCCUUCAAAAACCUCCUGAGGAACCCACCAAUGUCCUCAUUUAGUUGCUUAGCUGCACUACUUAUUGUCCCUGUAGUUUCACAGAAUGGAUCCCAGCCCAGUUUUGUAUAAAUUGGAGAAUGGCUUGUUCAUAGUGUUGAGCUUAUAAUUUUAAUGGUCUACAAUGAUUUUUUAAAUUACACGAUUUAAGUAUUUAAGGGAACUGCUGUUUCAUGUAAUUGUCAACUUUUGAGCUAACUUGUAAAGCUUUAAACAUUGAAGGUAAAUGCUUUGAAGAAAAAAACGCCAGUUUUUAGCAUAAAUAUUUCAGAGAGCAUGAUUGCUUAAUUUGGUUUUCAUAUUCCAUUAAGGUUUUAUUGAAUCUUAGUCUUGAAAGCACACUAUGGCGGAUGACUUGGAAAGUAAUGAGCUUCCAGAACCUGCCUAGGGAACCCGCCUAAGGUUGGAUUAAUUACAUUUUAUGCUGACUGGUCUCAAAGAAAAAUCCCAGAUUUUACAGAUACAAAUGGAAAUGCAUGAACUCAUUAGCUUCAAUUUUAAAAUAUGUAAACAAGUACUUAAAACGCUUCAGGAAAUUUCUAAUACUGAAAACUGGCAAAACAUUAAGGAACAAUUUUUGUAUUAGGUCAAAGAUUGUUGCUUUUCCAGUGUGUUGCCUUCAAAGGAGGAAGUAAAAUGUUAUUACUUUGUUUUUACAUCUAUUUUCCUUUUCUUAUUUGAAAAAUAAAAUAGGGGUGGGGGGAAGCAUUUCAAAAAAUUUAACUCUUCAAAAGACAAACUUUUUGUCACUUGCAAAACAAAAGAACAAUUUGUCAGUCAUACUAGUAGAAUGGUAGCAUGGGAUAAGAACACAUUACAGAGCUGGUGCAGUGGGGCACACCUGUGAUCCCAACAACUCAGGAGCCUGAGGCAGGAGAAUUACAAGUUCAAGGCCAGCCUCUGCACUUAGCAAGACCCAAAAUAAAAAUAAAAAAGGUUGGGGUUAUAGCUAAGUGGUAAAGCACCUGUGGGUUCAGUCCCCAGUACACACACCAUAGAGGAAAAACCUGCUACUUUACUGACUUAUCAGUUCACUUUAUGAUAUUCACUGAUUUUUGCUGAUUGUUGAGAUAAAAAGAGUACCUGGAGCUGAGUUUGAGAAUGUUCCAGGGGCAAAUAAAAACAAGGUGGACAGAUAUUCCUGGCCCAUUAUAAUUUCAUAGUCACAGCCAUGUUUAUCAUUUGUUAGCAAAGAAUAAUACUUUGUGUUAUAAAUAAUCUCCAGCACCACAAAUAAUAAUAAUAUGGAAUUUGUCCCUGUUCCAUGCUUCCUUCCCAUUUAGUGUAUAGAAUGAUAGGGUACAAUUGCCCAUAGCUAAAUGUGAAACUGCAUACAUGAUAGAACCAUGAUUAUUGAACGCCCAUCAAUGUAGACUUAGCAGAUGACUUUUGUAAAAGUAAAGACCCAUGAUAAAAUUCAUUGUCACAUCUUGGAAUCUCUCGGAGAAACACUGAGUUAGGACAUAGUAGUUUACUGAGCUUGUCCCUUUUAUCAGAUUUUAAAUAGUAAAUUUCAAUCACCUUGACCUCUUCACAUUUGAGAAUGUGAAGUUCAAUGUGCCACACUAAAUAGGUACAAUCUUGCUUUCUGGGAGCAGAAAAAAAUCUUGAUAAAUAUCAACUAGUAUAGGAGGCUACCUCAUUUCCAAAGCAGAAGAUUUCAGUAUUUUUACUAGUAAGUUGGAAAGAUACUGGGAAUGAAAUGGACCCUUUCUAACUAAGCAUUUGAUGGCAACCUUCGCUUGAUCAUGAGUUCACUACCUCAGCUUUCAGCCCAGCUGCAUCAAUCCGCUUCAUCAGAAUGGAGUUAAUGGUGUUUCUGGAUUAAAAGGCAAAGGAAAGCAAGCUAUUAAUGGGGUUAAAAUGUCAGUAAGAUUUCUUCAGUGCUUUUCCCCCAUAAUUGAGUAUAAAUGGAACAAACAAGGAAUAACAAUGAAUGUGGCCUGUAGAUCUGACAACGGAAAAAAACUGAAGAAACUUAUAAUCUAGAUAAUAAUGAACAUUCGCUAAACUGCUUCACAAGUGGCUUUUCAAAUUAACAUUGGAAAUGAAAAGGUCUGUCUUCAUUGGCAGGAGGACAGAUGAUCACUGAUGAUAGAUCCUGUAAGGCCUGAGCCUUACAAUUUCCGUGUUAAACCCCUAGUAGAGGUGCUCCUUUCAGAGUGGAACAAGGACCACGGCAAUGAAGUUUUGUCUCACUGGAGCCUUUCAAAAUGCUCUCAUUGAGUUCACCAAGAUGUAGAAGUUAGCCUACAAAUUUCCAAUCUAGGGGCUGGGGAUAUAGCUCAGCUGAUGUGAGUGUUGCCUCACAUGCACAAGGCCUUGGGUUCAAUCCCUAGCACUGUUACCGCUAUUGACCGGUAACGAGUUCUUGCUUCCCCAAUGUUGAAGAAUAACACCAAAGAAGCACUGGUCAGGAAGGACUUCUGAGUCAGCACCUUUUUGCUGGGGGCUGUUCAUUAACAUUUCUUUGAGGUGGACUUUGGCCUAGGGCCUUUUAGGGACUUCAUUAACAUUCCAUGAGUUGUCCUGUGUUUUCCCUGAGUCAUUCUCCGCAUGGUCUCCAUUUUAGAUUUCACUCAAUAUUAGACCCGAUUUACCUAACUACACUGACUACCUAACUUUAAAUCUGGCUUCAGCACCACCAAAGGAAAAAAAUCAACAUAAUUAAAGAUAUUUCUUGGACUUUCAAUGUGAGUGCUAUGCCAAUGUGGUGGUGCCCACCUAUAAUCCCAGUGACCAGGGAGGCUGAGGCUGGGAUCACAAGUUCAAGUCCAGCCUAGGCAAUUCACUGAGACCCUGUCUCAAAACGACCCUUGGGUUCAAGUCCCUGGGCAUGGGGAUUUUGGAGUAUUUUGGGGUUGAAUGUUACUAAGCAUGUAUGUGAUAGGAACUAAGAAUAUAACACUUAGAAAUCAAUACCAUUUUGAAGCCUGUGAUAUAUGACUUAUUCUUGAUAACAUUGUUCAGUAUCUGUCUGAUACUAGAAGAGUCAAUUUAUUAAAUAUUUUAUGUGUGGGUAAAUACAUAAACCUUUCUACUUUCAUCUUCUCUAAUGGGUCAAAGUUUCUUUCAUAAUUCAGGCUGUACUGAAAUAUUAUUAUUUCAGGGACUGAGGAUUUGUUUUUUAUAGUGUUAUAUUUUAACCCUUCACUAUGAAUGGAUUAUGUAAUUUGUGCCUUUUUUUCCCUACCAAAGAAAGAUGAGGUGAAGAUGGGUGCUAAACUUCAUAUUCCUUUCAACAUUAAUUUUUCUUUUUAAAUAUAUAUACCAAUUGGAACUAUGUAUAGCCAACAUUGUUAUAUGUUGCAUUUGUACACAUCUAAGGGAAAGAAAAACUUCAUCUAUAAAGCGAUUACCAAGUUCAAGUACAUAAUUUUUGUUAGCAUUUAAAUAUUUAAAUUAUAAAACACAAAAUCUUCCCCAAAUGAAAAGUUUCUCAUGAACAUGGCCUCCAAGGUAACAACUUAAAUGACACAGUCCCUUGUUUAUGUUUCUAGCACACACACACACAAAAUGUCUCUGAGGGACUAUGAAAAAAAGUGAUAUAUAUACAGACAGACAUAUGGCUUUCUAUUUUGCUUACAUAAGUAAAUAUUUGAACAUUUGAAACUAACAUUUUCAGGCUAAAAUCAGUUUGGAGAGUUAACAGUCUUAAAGAAUUAGUUAUUUGCUCAGUUUUAUUUUUAUAUUGUCCUAAUUUCUCACUAGAAGUGUCAUUGUUCAUCUUUCAGACUUAAUACAGAGAUUUAAACUAGUAACUGUUGCAGCUGGGUCAGUGUCAGCAGAUCUCAGAUCCUUGAUUUAUCAAGGGCUCUCAGCACCAUGACUAUGGAUAAUUGUGUAGUACCUAAAAUUCCACCUGAAAUUACAUGUAGAUCUCUGAAUCCUAAUGUUCUGUAAGUAGGGUUCAGGUAAAUUGGGGAUCACAAGUUUUCUCCUUAGGGUCUUUGCCUUAACUGUAUUGUAUGAGGAUUUGAUAAAACCAAUUAGGAAAACAAUGCUCAUUAUCAUUUUCCUAAUUAGAAAGACAUUCACAAUAGAAUGUACUGAGCUCACUGUUAACUAAUGGUUGCUCCUUUCAACUAUUGACAUGAGCUAAGUGUGGAGGGUAGAAUGGGGGUUUGUUAUCAGAAGUUAGAACAUUAUAACUUCUGACAUAACUAUGAAUAUAUUUUGGUGGAGAAAUAGAAGAUUGUAAAGGCAUUGCACAAUGCUUGGCAAAUUUAUCUUAUCCAUUUGUUCUCCCACCAGUUUAUUUUAGCCUAAAACUUAGAGCUACAACAAAUUGAACCCUGCAGUAUUAUUAAGUGAGAUUCUAUGAUUUAAGUAUCUCUUAGAAUAAUCUGACAUUUUUCAUUUUGACUCAAUGUUUAUCCAAAAAUUUUUAAAAAUUAUUUUAUAUAUUUUGGAAGUUAGACAUCAAAACCAUGCAUGCUGCACUCUGAAGUGUGGCUCUGCUGCUUUCCUUCCUACAUAGGAUGUCAUUUCUGGCACAGUAUUUGUUGAAAUAUAGAUUGCCAUGUGAAAUGAUCAUGCUGGAUUAGACCAGUAUGUGGCAUUUUAGUACUUGACUUUAAAAAAAAAAUGUUUCUCUUUAAAGAGUAUAAUUUAUAACUGAAUUUUAAAUAAUAUGCUAUUUAGUACACAUAACCAAAAUGUUUUAAAUGAAAAGAGCUUUGUAAUAAUUUGGAGAAUAAGAUCAUUUGACUGUGGAAAACGUGAUAUUCUCAGUAAAUGCAAUAAAAAAUUUAGCAAAUUCUUUUAAGACUUUAUAUUUAUGGAAUUCCCUGGGUCGGGGGGAGGAUUACUGAAAUGAAGGAAACAGCCUGUAAUGAAUAAAAGGGAAAUAAAUUGGUGCUUUUAAAACUGCAUAUAUGUAUUCCAAGUGUGUUGAAUAUUGUUUCUCAAGAGAAGGGAAUGGAGAGAAAUGAUCCAAAGGCCCUGGAUACUUUCUUUCUUUCUUUUUUCAUCUUUUUGUGGUGCCAGGGACCAAAUGUAGCCCAGGCUAGCCAAGUGCUCUACAACUAAGCCACAUGCCCAGCUCCAAAACUAUUUAUAUUUGAUCUCCCUUUUCAUCCCUUUCAAAAAUUAUAUUUAUUUAUUGGUACUGGGAUUGAACUCAGAUGCUUUACCACUGAGCCACAUCCCUAGAUCUUUUAAUCUUUUAUUUUUGAGACAGGAUCUCUCUUAAAUUGCUUAGGGCCUCACUAAGUUGUUGAGGCUGGCCUUGAAUUUGCAAUCCUCCUGCCUCAGAUUCUUGAGUGGUUGGGAUUACCAGUGUGCACCAAUUUGUCUGGCUUGUUAUUUGUAGUGAUGAUUGCCUUUCUAGAUAGAAUGCAAUCAAAUCUCUGUGCUGUUUUGAUUUGCAUUUCCCUGAUUGCUAAGGAUGUUGAACAUUGAACAUUUUUUUUCAUAUAUUUGUUGGCCAUUUGUAUUCUUUUGAG